rnacentral:rRNA from 1 species
AUUGAACGCUGGCGGCAGGCCUAACACAUGCAAGUCGAACGGUAACAGGAAGCAGCUUGCUGCUUUGCUGACGAGUGGCGGACGGGUGAGUAAUGUCUGGGAAACUGCCCGAUGGAGGGGGAUAACUACUGGAAACGGUAGCUAAUACCGCAUAACGUCGCAAGACCAAAGAGGGGGACCUUAGGGCCUCUUGCCAUCGGAUGUGCCCCGAUGGGAUUAGCUAGUAGGUGGGGUAACGGCUCACCUAGGCGACGAUCCCUAGCUGGUCUGAGAGGAUGACCAGCCACACUGGAACUGAGACACGGUCCAGACUCCUACGGGAGGCAGCAGUGGGGAAUAUUGCACAAUGGGCGCAAGCCUGAUGCAGCCAUGCCGCGUGUAUGAAGAAGGCCUUCGGGUUGUAAAGUACUUUCAGCGGGGAGGAAGGGAGUAAAGUUAAUACCUUUGCUCAUUGACGUUACCCGCAGAAGAAGCACCGGCUAACUCCGUG